UCCCUGGCAGUCCAGUGGUUAGGACUCUGUGCUUUCACUGCAGGAGGCACAGGUUUGACCCCUGGCUGGGGAA
rnacentral:tRNA from 1 species